rnacentral:rRNA from 1 species
GGGGAAUUUUCCGCAAUGGGCGCAAGCCUGACGGAGCAAGACCGCGUGCGGGAGGACGGCCUAUUGGUUGUAAACCGCUUUUGAUAGGGAAGAAGCUCUGACGGUACCUAUCGAAUCAGCAUCGGCUAACUCCGUGCCAGCAGCCGCGGUAAUACGGAGGAUGCAAGCGUUAUCCGGAAUUAUUGGGCGUAAAGCGUCCGUAGGUGGUUGUUCAAGUCUGCUGUUAAAGCGUGCGGCUUAACCGCAUACCAGCAAUGGAAACUGGGCGACUAGAGUGCGGUAGGGGUCAGGGGAAUUCCCAGUGUAGCGGUGAAAUGCGUAGAUAUUGGGAAGAACACCGGUGGCGAAAGCGCCUGACUGGACCUGCACUGACACUGAGGGACGAAAGCUAGGGGAGCGAAAGGGAUUAGAUACCCCAGUAGUC